GUCUAUCACUAGGCCACUCUGAACACACCUGAUCUCAUCUGAUCUGGGAAGCUAAGCAGGGUCAGGCCUGGUUAGUACCUCGAUGGGAGACUGGGAAUACCAGGUACUGUAGGGU
rnacentral:rRNA from 1 species